AUCCACUCCAUGCUUUAAAAACUUAAGUGCAGAAAGAUUAAGUGACUGACUUAUUUAAAGUCAGACAAUAAAUCGGAGCAUGAGUCACGAUAUAGGAGAUAAGAGCACAUGAAACUCUUAUUUGCAAAAGGACUUAAUCAUUAUUUUUAAAAGCCUCCUCCUUAAUUCGGAAGAAUAAUACUGUCCUUCCACCCACAGUACAUGGUGGGGGUGGAUUCCAAAGCUGAAAACCAGCCAACAGGGAGUGCAGCGGUGCAGGCUGGGACUCGGGGUCCCAGGGCUGAGUCGCCUCGCCAGUUUCCCUCCUGCAGCGUCCGGAGGUGCUGCUCUGGGUACCUUCUCAAGUCCCUUCGACCGCCCCCCUGCCGUGGCCCCUUGGCCCCGGGCGCGCCCGGCGGGGUCCAUAGUCUCCUCCGCGGGCCCUGAGCGCAGGGCCAGACCCAGACUCGGACCCAGAUCCAGACCCAGACUCGGACACAGAUCCAGACCCAGGCAGGCCCAGGGCGCGGGGGCUGGACGCAGGCAGGUCAGCCCGGCCGGAGCGCAGGAUCGAGUCCGCUCUCUGUUGUGGCGGUUCGCUGGGCAACAAGCCCCUAGUUUCCAGCCCUGCCCUGACUUGGGCUGGCCUGGGAUAAUCCGCCCUCAGGUGUGGCGUGCACAGUGCUAAGGUUUGGUUCUCUGGAAAAUAAAACAUCCAGCGACCAUCGAGAACGGGCCAUGAUGACAAUGGCGGUUUUGUCGAAUAGAAAAGGGGGAAAUGUGGGGAAAAGAGAGAGAGAUCAGAUUGUU
rnacentral:lncRNA from 1 species